CCCUGGAAUCCCCGCCAGUCUGACAGAAGAGCGAGCGAAGUUGUAUUAUGGCGAGCAACAGGUCGUUUACUGGGAAGAAGAUUUGGUGUUGAUAGAGGAGGCAACAUCUUCAAGGCAAAACCUUAGACCUCAUUCAACAUCAUCCAAUGUUGCAAUCCCCCUCAGGAGUGAGGAGGAUGUGAUUCGUCAUGCAGCAGCACAGAUAAACACCAGAAAGACAUCUGAAAUCUAUCACGAGAUAACACGUCUGAAGUUGUGGAAACGUCAAAAACAGGAAGCCCUGUAUGUCCCUUGAAAAUCACCUUCCUUGGAGAGCCUGUAAAAAUAAAUAAAUAAAAUUAUUUGUAUAUAAAGCUAAAAACAAUAAAGCAAA